GUAAAUAUAGUUUAAGAAAAACACUAGCUUGUGGAGCCAGUAAUAGAAGACUAAAACUUCUUAUUUACC